UAUUUCCGUGUAAACUUACUACAUUCCCCUCUCUAUCCAAAGAGCCACCACCACCUACUCCACUCUUCUCUGAUCUUCGUCGUCGCCGUUGCCGUCCAGCCCAGCACUCGCUGCCGAUCUCUGCCCAUCUCCCUCGUUCUUAGCCCCUCUGUCCCCGUCGUUCAUUCGCAGUAUCCCUCUUCUCUCUUCGAGUCUUUCGUUAUCAGCCUCAGUGCGCCGUCGUCGUGACACCCGCGGGCGUCGUUGUUCUCACUCCUCAGCGGCGUCGUCCUUAGCAGGCAACGAGAGAUGGCGUGGAUCUCAGCGAGUUGAGCGUCGUCGUCAGCACCGUGGUGCUCCCUCUCCCCUUUCAUCCUCCACUUCCAGAGUUCCAAUGCAGUCUCAGCCUCAGGAAACUUCAUCUGCUUAUUAUAUAUUGCAGCAGUAUACUGCUGCCUCUGGAGGGCAGAAGUUGCAGAACUCAAUAAGAAAUGCAUAUGCAAUGUGAAAGGUGAGGAUGGUAGCUUCUGAGUUUGAAACUGCAACUAGAGUAGUGAAAAACUGGAAUGCCUCUAGGUGCGUGGAGUUCGGUGGAUUUGUGCUCUUGCAGAUGAAACAAAAAUGGGCAUUCUGUGGUAACUCUUUUCAGGUUUGGGGAGAUGGCUAUGAGCCAUACCAAAACAAAAAAUGGAAGAGGCGUGGACAAUUGAAGAGAUUGCAUUCAAUGUCCCAGGUCUCUCAGUAGAUUGCUUCAUUCCCCCAGUAGAUUUGAGGACAGGUUCUGUCAGUUAAGCAUUGGAGAAAUCUCAUAAUUGCAGUGUUGAUAAUAUGAUCUGGUAGAUGGAAAUCUAACAAGGCGGUUAGGAAUAUCAUCAAUUCAGGCCAAUUGUUAAUAGCAGUCACUAGUUUUUUUUACUACUAACGUCUAGAAUUUGAUGUACCCAUCAUAUCUUUUCUAAUAUAUAUGAAUUUCGUUUGUAUUUUGA